rnacentral:rRNA from 1 species
CAGCCGGCGCGGUAAUACGUAGGGGGCGAGCGUUGUCCGGAAUUACUGGGCGUAAAGGGCGUGUAGGCGGCCUGUUAAGUCAGGGGUGAAAGACCGGGGCUCAACCCCGGGGGUGCCUCUGAAACUGGCGGGCUUGAGUGCUCUAGAGGGCAGUGGAAUUCCCGGUGUAGCAGUGAAAUGCGUAGAGAUCGGGAGGAACACCAGUGGCGAAGGCGGCUGCCUGGGGAGUCACUGACGCUGAGGCGCGAAAGCUAGGGGAGCAAACAGGAUUAGAUACCCUGGUAGUCCUAGCCGUAAACGAUGAGCGCUAUGUGUGAGGGGUAUCGACCCCCCUCGUGCAGUAGCUAACGCAUUAAGCGCUCCGCCUGGGGAGUACGGCCGCAAGGUUGAAACUUAAAGGAAUUGGCGGG